AUUGAACGCUGGCGGAAUGCUUUACACAUGCAAGUCGAGCGGCAGCACGGGGGCAACCCUGGUGGCGAGCGGCGAACGGGUGAGUAAUACAUCGGAACAUGCCCAGUCGUGGGGGAUAACACUUCGAAAGAAGUGCUAAUACCGCAUACGUCCUGAGGGGGAAAGCGGGGGAUCGCAAGACCUCGCGCGAUUGGAGUGGCCGAUGUCAGAUUAGCUAGUUGGUGGGGUAAAGGCCUACCAAGGCAACGAUCUGUAGCUGGUCUGAGAGGAUGAUCAGCCACACUGGGAGUGAGACACGGCCCAGACUCCUACGGGAGGCAGCAGUGGGGAAUUUUGGACAAUGGGGGCAACCCUGAUCCAGCCAUUCCGCGUGAGUGAAGAAGGCCUUCGGGUUGUAAAGCUCUUUCGGCAGGAACGAAACGGUGAGCUCUAACAUAGCUUGCUAAUGACGGUACCUGAAGAAGAAGCACCGGCUAACUACGUG
rnacentral:rRNA from 1 species